rnacentral:rRNA from 1 species
UGAGUAACACGUGGGCAACCUGCCUGUAAGACUGGGAUAACUUCGGGAAACCGGAGCUAAUACCGGAUAAUCCUUUUCUACUCAUGUAGAAAAGCUGAAAGACGGUUUACGCUGUCACUUACAGAUGGGCCCGCGGCGCAUUAGCUAGUUGGUGAGGUAACGGCUCACCAAGGCGACGAUGCGUAGCCGACCUGAAAGGGUGAUCGGCCACACUGGGACUGAGACACGGCCCACACUCCUACGGGAGGCAGCAGUAGGGAAUCUUCCGCAAUGGACGAAAGUCUGACGGAGCAACGCCGCGUGAGUGAUGAAGGUUUUCGGAUCGUAAAACUCUGUUGUUAGGGAAGAACAAGUACGAGAGUAACUGCUCGUACCUUGACGGUACCUAACCAGAAAGCCACGGCUAACUACGUGCCAGCAGCCGCGGUAAUACGUAGGUGGCAAGCGUUGUCCGGAAUUAUUGGGCGUAAAGCGCGCGCAGGCGGUCCUUUAAGUCUGAUGUGAAAGCCCACGG